GGUUCUAUGGUCUAGUCGGUUAUGACGGAUGCCUCACAUCUUGAACGCAUCAGGUUCCCGGUUCGAUCCCGGGUGGAAUCA